rnacentral:rRNA from 1 species
ACGGGUGCGUAACACGUGGGAAUAUACCUUUUGGUUCGGAACAACGCAGGGAAACUUGCGCUAAUACCGAAUGUGCCCUUACGGGGAAAGAUUUAUCGCCAAAGGAUUAGCCCGCGUAGGAUUAGCUAGUUGGUGAGGUAAUGGCUCACCAAGGCUCCGAUCCUUAGCUGUUCUGAGAGGAAGAUCAGCCACACUGGGACUGAGACACGGCCCAGACUCCUACGGGAGGCAGCAGUUGGGAAUCUUGGACAAUGGGGGAAACCCUGAUCCAGCCAUGCCGCGUGAGUGAUGAAGGCCUUCGGGUUGUAAAACUCUUUCGACGGGGACGAUAAUGACGGUACCCGUAGAAGAAGCUCCGGCUAACUUCGUGCCAGCAGCCGCGGUAAUACGAAGGGGGCUAGCGUUGUUCGGAAUUACUGGGCGUAAAGCGCGCGCAGGCGGCUAUCCAAGUCAGUGGUGAAAGCCCGGAGCUCAACUCCGGAACUGCCAUUGAAACUGUUUAGCUUGAGGACGAGAGAGGUGAGUGGAAUUCCCAGU